rnacentral:rRNA from 1 species
UACGGAGGAGGCAAGCAUUAUCCGGAAUUAUUGGGCGUAAAGCGUCCGCAGGUGGCGAUUCAAGUCUGCGGUUAAAGACUGGGGCUUAACCCUGGAAAGGCCGUGGAAACUGAAACGCUAGAGUGCAGUAGGGGUAGAGGGAAUUCCCGGUGUAGCGGUGAAAUGCGUAGAGCUCGGGAAGAACAUCGGUGGCGAAAGCGCUCUGCUGGACUGCAACUGACACUCAGGGACGAAAGCUAGGGGAGCGAAUGGG